CGCCUCUUGGCGAACAUAAGAGGUCCAGCCUGCCCGGUGACAUCAGUUUAACGGCCGCGGUAUCCUAACCGUGCGAAGGUAGCGUAAUCACUUGUUUUUUAAAUAAAGACUAGUAUGAAAGGCAUCACGAGGAUAAAACUGUCUCCUUUUUUUAAUCAGUUAAACUAAUCUUCCCGUGAAGAAGCGGGAAUAAAUAUAUAAGACGAGAAGACCCUAUGGAGCUUUAAACGCAUGGCACUUGUCCUUUAAUUCUCCCCCCCCCGGAUCCUAAACACUUGACAUUUUGACCAAAAGUUUUCGGUUGGGGCGACCACGGAGAAAAACUCAACCUCCAUGUUGUAUUAAAAUUUUUUAACCUAAAGCUACCCCUUUAAGUAUCAAUAAAUUGACAUCCAUUGACCCACCUUUGUGAUCAACGAACCAAGUUACCCUAGGGAUAACAGCGCAAUCCACUUUGAGAGCUCAUAUCGACAAGUGGGUUUACGACCUCGAUGUUGGAUCAGGGUAACCUGGUGGUGUAGCCGCUACUAAGAGUUCGUUUGUUCAACGAUUAAACCCCU
rnacentral:rRNA from 1 species